GGAGUCUGGACCGUGUCUCAGUUCCAAUGUGGCCGUUCAUCCUCUCAGACCGGCUACUGAUCGUCGCCUUGGUAGGCCGUUACCCCACCAACUAGCUAAUCAGACGCAGACCCAUCGCAAAGCGAUAGCUUACAAGUAGAGGCCAUCUUUAAUCAAGCUCCCAUGCGGAAACUUGACAACAUUCGGUAUUAGCAGUCCUUUCGGACUGUUGUCCCCAUCUUUGCGGCAGGUUGUCCACGCGUUACUCACCCGUUUGCCACUAGGCUCAUAAAAGCAAGCUUUCAAUCGCCCCGUUCGACUUGCAUGUGUUAAGCACGCCGCCAGCGUUCGUCCUCGAGCCACUGAUCAAACUCU
rnacentral:rRNA from 1 species